rnacentral:rRNA from 1 species
CUUAGCCCUUAACAAAAAUAGCACGAAAACCAUGCUAUUCGCCAGAGAACUACAAGUGAAAAACUUAAAACUCCAAGGACUUGGCGGUGCUCCAUAUCGCCCUAGAGGAGCCUGUCCUAUAAUCGAUACCCCACGUUAAACCCUACCAUUUUUUGCAACCUCAGCCUAUAUACCGCCGUCGUCAGCCUACCUUAUGAAAGGAAAAAAGUAGGCGAAAUAGCCCGCACUAACACGUCAGGUCAAGGUGUAGCACAUAAAAUGGCAGAGAUGGGCUACAUUUUCUGAAACAGAAAAUACGAACAGCACAUUGAAACCCGUGCUUGAAGGCGGAUUUAGCCGUAAAACAAAUAAGCUUGUUUGUUUUAAUCCCGCUCUGGAGCGCGCACACACCGCC